AUUAGUGGCGAACGGGUGAGUAAUACGUGAGUGACCUACCUUUGACUCUGGGAUAAGCCUGGGAAACUGGGUCUAAUACCGGAUACGACCAAUCUCCGCAUGGGGUGUUGGUGGAAAGCGUUAUGGAGUGGUUUUAGAUGGGCUCACGGCCUAUCAGCUUGUUGGUGAGGUAAUGGCUUACCAAGGCGACGACGGGUAGCCGGCCUGAGAGGGUGACCGGCCACACUGGGACUGAGACACGGCCCAG
rnacentral:rRNA from 1 species